UACGUAGGGUGCAAGCGUGUCCGGAAUUAUUGGGCGUAAAGAGCUCGUAGGCGGUCUGUCGCGUCUGCUGUGAAAACUCGGGGCUUAACCCCGGGCCUGCAGUGGGUACGGGCAGACUAGAGUGCGGUAGGGGAGACUGGAAUUUACGGUGUAGCAGUGAAAUGCGUAGAUAUCGUAAGGAAGACCAGUGGCGAAGGCGAGUUCCUGGACAG
rnacentral:rRNA from 1 species